CUCUUUUUUAAAUAGUAAAAAGUAGUCUCUGCUCAGUGAAAAUUUAAAUAGCCGCGGUAUUUUGACCGUGCUAAGGUAGCAUAGUAAUUUGUUUCAUAACUGGAAACUGGAAUGAAGGAGUUGACGAAAUUGAGGCUUUCUUAAAAAAUUUUUUGGAAGUUGAUAUUUGCUUCAAAAAGAGCAGGUGUGUUAAAGGGACGAUAAGACCCUAUAAAACUUUAUUAUAGGCGAGUUUUAUUCUUUAGAGCUAAAAAAUUUUACUUUAAUUAAGCUGGGGCGGUACUUAUUAUUUACUCAAAAAGAAAUAGAACAGAAAUUUUUGGGGAGAAGGAUCUUUUGUAAAAGUAUAGAGAGAUAGAAUAAGUUACUUUAGGGAUAACAGCACAAUUUUUUUUUAUAGGCCUUAUAGAAGAGAAAGACUUGUGACCUCGAUGUUGAAUUUGAGGGUCUCUUUUCAAGCAGAAAUGAAACAGGGAAGUCUGUUCGACUUUUAUACCCUC
rnacentral:rRNA from 2 species